UGCACACACUCACGCCAGGUUCCUGUAGAGGGCAGUGCAGAUUCACUUUGGUACAUAUUUGACUUCGGCCCAGAUGUGAUCAACUGGAAAAAAGAAAUGCACCUAGUCUGAGCUACAAGGACGACACAAACCUGGCAGACGCCCUCUGCGCUCCCUCCUGCCCUGCUUUAUGCCCACCUGCAUGCCCAUCUGCAGAAGAAGCCCGCCAGUUGUUCUGUUUGUGUGCCAGGGUGAAUCAAACCCAUCCACGUCGUUCCCAGGUGUGCAUCUGGCUGCGCCCCCUCUCCAUCCGUCGCUGUGGCCAGAGGGAGAUAAUAAAGACGAAGCUAUUUAAUGAGACUGGUAAUGGGCAGGAUCUCUGCAGUGGAUCGUUCCAGUCUGAAGACCCAGCUGUCCUGACGGACCGUCUGACCCUGCCCAGCGCUCCAGCUUUGAAACCGAGCGACGGAAGGAGGGGAUUACAGCUCGAAACAGGAUCCGGGCUGCUCCGAGUGCUACUUGACCUUGGGGUCCUUCUGUGAGAUGAUCUGGCCGAUGGAUGGAUUGAUGGAUGGAAGAGAACCUCAAUGAAUGCUGGUGGGCUGGACUCAUCUGAGAGGUGGGAAGAUAAGAGGCCACAGUGCUGGUUUUGUUCCAGUCUGGUCAGGUCCGGUCCCAGGUUUGUCAACCCCUCAUCUGUUGACUCCUCUC